ACUAAAUGGGGUAAUGAUACAGAUCUGGUGGUCUUUGUUGCUGAUUUUGGUAGCAAUGUAAAUCUUACCUCUAGUUGUGGCGAUAAUAAGUUAUAGAGACAGGAGAAGUGGGAAGCAAAGAAGGUUCCCAAGAAAAAAGCAUCAAAGAAUCCAACUGUGUUCCGCUAUUGUAAUUGAAUUUGGAAGCACCUGCUUCUGAGCCAUGGAACAUAAUCACUACAGAAAAUGGACUGUUCCUCAAUAAACUGGACAGCCUUAGAUAGCCAUUCCCCCUGCCAGGUCUGUCACUCUCACAGGUGAAAAAGCUCAAAUACUUGUCAACACCCAGUGGCAACUGGAGGAAGGAGACCCUGAGGUAAUGUUUUUGAAUUUGAAGACAGAGGGAAUAAAGUAAUAUUUCAUCUGAAGUAAUUUCUUCAUUCAGUUAGAACUUCAUAUUGGCCCAAUUGAACUCACUGGGCUUUUUGCCACUGACUUUAAUAAGGUACAUACAUGAAAAUCAUAACUUUGGUCUAUGUGAAGAUUUUGCACUACAAUUAAUGACUUAGACUUCAUGUGCAAGGCCCAAAAGAUCAGUAGUUGUCUCCUGUGUAUAUUUUUAGCAGUACCAUUACAAAAUGAUUAAAAAAUGAAAAUGUUUCAACUUUUGAGCCAUUCCUGUCUGUGUGCAUAAGCAAGGUAAAUUAAUAAAUACUGCUAGCAGAAAUUUAAUGAAGUGGUUUAUCAUAAGAACAAAUUUUAAACAGGAAAAGCACAAAAGACCUUUCAGAUGUUUAUUUUCUAUAAAACUGAUCCUAAUGUAGGCAUAUUUUUGUAUCUAAUUUAAUGACUGUAGUAAUUCUGUUCAUUUACUGUUUGUCAAAGUCUGUACUAAUAUAACAUUUCACAAUGCACAUCUGCAAGCUCAGAAAACUUAAAGGUGUUAUUACUUUUUGUAAUGUUAAUAUCCUUCUGCUCGUCUCAUUGUGAACUGAUUGUGCUUUGUUGUACAAACUGAGAAAACACUAUGGCAAUCUUUGUAUCAUGUAUUUUCUGUCAAUUUAAAAAGAAAUGAAACUAAAACCCUUAUGUAGUUAACUGUACAGUAGUUUUUUUAGCUUGUUUCAUAUUGUGAGACUCUAUACUGAUCUCCCCUUCAUCUGUUCCUUGAUCAAAUCAGAGUCUAUACUAUGUUUCUGAAGCAAAUAUGGUUUGAAAAAUGUAUUUUUCUUUGGCUUCAUUUAUUUUCUCAGGAUGCCUAAGGAUUUUGACUGAACUGAUGAAUUUGACUAUAAGGAAAUGAAAAUACCCCAGUUAAUGUUUUCUUAUCACCCAAACAGACCUCAGCUUCAUCUUUCAAAUUUCAGCGGACUGCAGUCUAAAGUGAAGUUGUUCAGCUGAAAUUGCCGGGACUUUAGGUACUCCAGGGUACUAGAAAGCCAUCUUAUUAUUAAUCCUGCAUUAAUGAAGAGAUUGGACUUAGGGCAUGAUCCAGAGCCCAUUGUAGUCAAUGGGAGUCUUUUUCCAUUGACUUCAGCGGGGUUUGGAUCAGGCCUUUACUUCCUGAAAAGAUAGACUCCCAAGAAAAGUCUGCUGUAAUCAAGAGGCAUUCUAAGAUGCUGAAGACCUAACAGUUGUGACUGGCUAUGGGUAUGGCUCACUGCUCAUGGGGAAGUGUAUCUUAAAUUCUAAGCUUUGCUAUACACAUUCAGAACACUGAAUUUAUAUUCAUAUAAUAAAUGGUAAAUUAUGAGAAAC
ensembl:lncRNA